rnacentral:rRNA from 1 species
GGCGGGACACGUGGUAUCCUGUCUGAAUAUGGGGGGACCAUCCUCCAAGGCUAAAUACUCCUGACUGACCGAUAGUGAACCAGUACCGUGAGGGAAAGGCGAAAAGAACCCCGGCGAGGGGAGUGAAAAAGAACCUGAAACCGUGUACGUACAAGCAGUGGGAGCCUCUUUAUGGGGUGACUGCGUACCUUUUGUAUAAUGGGUCAGCGACUUAUAUUCUGUAGCAAGGUUAACCGAAUAGGGGAGCCGAAGGGAAACCGAGUCUUAACUGGGCGUUAAGUUGCAGGGUAUAGACCCGAAACCCGGUGAUCUAGCCAUGGGCAGGUUGAAGGUUGGGUAACACUAACUGGAGGACCGAACCGACUAAUGUUGAAAAAUUAGCGGAUGACUUGUGGCUGGGGGUGAAAGGCCAAUCAAACCGGGAGAUAGCUGGUUCUCCCCGAAAGCUAUUUAGGUAGCGCCUCGUGAAUUCAUCUCCGGGGGUAGAGCACUGUUUCGGCAAGGGGGUCAUCCCGACUUACCAACCCGAUGCAAACUGCGAAUACCGGAGAAUGUUAUCACGGGAGACACACGGCGGGUGCUAACGUCCGUCGUGAAGAGGGAAACAACCCAGACCGCCAGCUAAGGUCCCAAAGUCAUGGUUAAGUGGGAAACGAUGUGGGAAGGCCCAGACAGCCAGGAUGUUGGCUUAGAAGCAGCCAUCAUUUAAAGAAAGCGUAAUAGCUCACUGGUCGAGUCGGCCUGCGCGGAAGAUGUAACGGGGCUAAACCAUGCACCGAAGCUGCGGCAGCGACGCUUAUGCGUUGUUGGGUAGGGGAGCGUUCUGUAAGCCUGCGAAGGUGUGCUGUGAGGCAUGCUGGAGGUAUCAGAAGUGCGAAUGCUGACAUAAGUAACGAUAAAGCGGGUGAAAAGCCCGCUCGCCGGAAGACCAAGGGUUCCUGUCCAACGUUAAUCGGGGCAGGGUGAGUCGACCCCUAAGGCGAGGCCGAAAGGCGUAGUCGAUGGGAAACAGGUUAAUAUUCCUGUACUUGGUGUUACUGCGAAGGGGGGACGGAGAAGGCUAUGUUGGCCGGGCGACGGUUGUCCCGGUUUAAGCGUGUAGGCUGGUUUUCCAGGCAAAUCCGGAAAAUCAAGGCUGAGGCGUGAUGACGAGGCACUACGGUGCUGAAGCAACAAAUGCCCUGCUUCCAGGAAAAGCCUCUAAGCAUCAGGUAACAUCAAAUCGUACCCCAAACCGACACAGGUGGUCAGGUAGAGAAUACCAAGGCGCUUGAGAGAACUCGGGUGAAGGAACUAGGCAAAAUGGUGCCGUAACUUCGGGAGAAGGCACGCUGAUAUGUAGGUGAAGCGACUUGCUCGUGGAGCUGAAAUCAGUCGAAGAUACCAGCUGGCUGCAACUGUUUAUUAAAAACACAGCACUGUGCAAACACGAAAGUGGACGUAUACGGUGUGACGCCUGCCCGGUGCCGGAAGGUUAAUUGAUGGGGUCAGCGCAAGCGAAGCUCUUGAUCGAAGCCCCGGUAAACGGCGGCCGUAACUAUAACGGUCCUAAGGUAGCGAAAUUCCUUGUCGGGUAAGUUCCGACCUGCACGAAUGGCGUAAUGAUGGCCAGGCUGUCUCCACCCGAGACUCAGUGAAAUUGAACUCGCUGUGAAGAUGCAGUGUACCCGCGGCAAGACGGAAAGACCCCGUGAACCUUUACUAUAGCUUGACACUGAACAUUGAGCCUUGAUGUGUAGGAUAGGUGGGAGGCUUGGAAGUGUGGACGCCAGUCUGCAUGGAGCCGACCUUGAAAUACCACCCUUUAAUGUUUGAUGUUCUAACGUUGACCCGUAAUCCGGGUUGCGGACAGUGUCUGGUGGGUAGUUUGACUGGGGCGGUCUCCUCCUAAAGAGUAACGGAGGAGCACGAAGGUUGGCUAAUCCUGGUCGGACAUCAGGAGGUUAGUGCAAUGGCAUAAGCCAGCUUGACUGCGAGCGUGACGGCGCGAGCAGGUGCGAAAGCAGGUCAUAGUGAUCCGGUGGUUCUGAAUGGAAGGGCCAUCGCUCAACGGAUAAAAGGUACUCCGGGGAUAACAGGCUGAUACCGCCCAAGAGUUCAUAUCGACGGCGGUGUUUGGCACCUCGAUGUCGGCUCAUCACAUCCUGGGGCUGAAGUAGGUCCCAAGGGUAUGGCUGUUCGCCAUUUAAAGUGGUACGCGAGCUGGGUUUAGAACGUCGUGAGACAGUUCGGUCCCUAUCUGCCGUGGGCGCUGGAGAACUGAGGGGGGCUGCUCCUAGUACGAGAGGACCGGAGUGGACGCAUCACUGGUGUUCGGGUUGUCAUGCCAAUGGCACUGCCCGGUAGCUAAAUGCGGAAGAGAUAAGUGCUGAAAGCAUCUAAGCACGAAACUUGCC